rnacentral:lncRNA from 1 species
GAUGAGCAAGUCGAGCUCGAGCGGCGUCGUGGCGGAGGCGCAUCAGUGCGUGAACGCGCGCGCGGAUGACUUCAUCAACAAGUUCAGGCAGCAGCUACAGCUGCAGCACUGAACUCGCUGCUCAACUACAAGGAGGUGCUCGACCGCGGCGGUGGCAAGCAGUAGCCGCAGCGUGCAAGGCGGAGGGAGAAAGGUAGCUAGCUGUAGGAUCCAAUCCAAAACCAUACUGCAAAAAAAUCGAUCUUUGGUCCAUCAACCAGUAGACCUCGAGUAUGGAUUAUGCAGUGUUGUUCUUAUUAGCACAGUUAUGUAAGAAUCGCUAUUUUUCAGCUUGUUAAUUUCAAUUGGUUUGUGGUGCUGGCAUUUGAGACCUCGCGCAGGCAAAGAGUGGCCUGCGGCAGCCUGGGCACUGGGUGAGGUCUGGCGCCGGGGCUCCGACCAACAGCGUGCAGCCAGCCGAGCCGUGAAGCCAGGGGAAGGGAUGGAGAAAGGAGGAAAUAUUAGGAGGAAAGGGUGAGGAAGGUGGAGAGCUGCUGUUGGCCGUGAUCCCCGCUAUGCGACUACUCUCACACAACAGGCAGUUUGCUCGUCGCUGGAUAAAUCGCGACGAUUCCCGAGUAUGCUCACGAGAGGGUAAACAUCUCUCUCACAGCUGCUGGGGUGGCGCUAUCCAUGGUGAAGAGGGUGUCCACCGCUAUGGCGGAGCGGCUGGCACUCCCAACAGGUACGAGCCAUUCUCUUCCUGCAUUAUUUUUCUUAUUUUUUUGUUUCUGUUUAUGCUGCAAGAAUACAUG